GAUGAACGCUAGCUACAGGCUUAACACAUGCAAGUCGAGGGGUAACGAGAGGAAAGCUUGCUUUCCUUGUCGACGACCGGCGCACGGGUGAGUAACGCGUAUCCAACCUGCCCCCAACUAGGGAAUAACCUUGCGAAAGUAAGACUAAUACCCUAUAAUUUCCUCAGAUGUCAUCUGACGAGGAAUAAAGAUUUAUCGGUUGUGGAUGGGGAUGCGUCUGAUUAGCUUGUUGGCGGGGUAACGGCCCACCAAGGCAACGAUCAGUAGGGGUUCUGAGAGGGAGGUCCCCCACAUUGGAACUGAGACACGGUCCAAACUCCUACGGGAGGCAGCAGUGAGGAAUAUUGGUCAAUGGGCGGAAGCCUGAACCGGCCAAGUAGCGUGCAGGAUGACGGCCCGAUGGGUUGUAAACUGCUUUUAUACAGGAAUAAAGUUAGCCACGUGUGGUUAUUUGUAGGUACUGUAUGAAUAAGGACCGGCUAAUUCCGUGCCAGCCGCCGCUGUAA
rnacentral:rRNA from 1 species